AUUGAACGCUGGCGGCAGGCUUAACACAUGCAAGUCGAGCGGGGUGAUGGUGCUUGCACUAUCACUUAGCGGCGGACGGGUGAGUAAUGCUUAGGAAUCUGCCUAUUAGUGGGGGACAACAUCUCGAAAGGGAUGCUAAUACCGCAUACGUCCUACGGGAGAAAGCAGGGGAUCACUUGUGACCUUGCGCUAAUAGAUGAGCCUAAGUCGGAUUAGCUAGUUGGUGGGGUAAAGGCCUACCAAGGCGACGAUCUGUAGCGGGUCUGAGAGGAUGAUCCGCCACACUGGGACUGGGACACGGCCCAGACUCCUACGGGAGGCAGCAGUGGGGAAUAUUGGACAAGGGGGGGAACCCUGAUCCAGCCAUGCCGCGUGUGUGAAGAAGGCCUUAUGGUUGUCAAGCACUUUAAGCGAGGAGGAGGCUCUUUUGGUUAAUACCCAAGAUGAGUGGACGUUACUCGCAGAAUAAGCACCGGCUAACUCUGUGCCAGCCGCCGCGGUAA
rnacentral:rRNA from 1 species